GACGAACGCUGGCGGCGUGCUUAACACAUGCAAGUCGAGCGGUAAGGCCCUUUCGGGGGGUACACGAGCGGCGAACGGGUGAGUAACACGUGGGUGACCUGCCUCUAGCUCUGGGAUAAGCCUGGGAAGCUGGGUCUAAUACCGGAUAUGACCUCGCGGUGCAUGUUGCGGGGUGGAAAGCCUUGUGCGGCUAGGGAUGGGCCCGCGGCCUAUCAGCUUGUUGGUGGGGUGANGGCCUACCAAGGCGACGACGGUAGCCGGCCUGAGAGGGCGACCGGCCACACUGGGACUGAGACACGGCCCAGACUCCUACGGGAGGCAGCAGUGGGGAAUCUUGCGCAAUGGGCGAAAGCCUGACGCAGCGACGCCGCGUGAGGGAUGACGGCC
rnacentral:rRNA from 1 species